UGUCAGAAAUCUGGCCACCGUUUUUUGAUAAAUAGGCAGAAAAGUCGAUUUAGGUGUAUGUCCGUAGUUCCCAAUACCUUGUUGUGAGGGUACAAUCCCACCAAUGGGAGGAGGGCCAUCCCAGCUGGGAGGGGGCACGCCACACUAGGACACGAGGACACGGUCCUUCUGCUUCCGGGAGGGAGGCAAGUAGGGAUUAUUUUGCAAUAGGGGUAACCCCUGACACACCCACCGCGCCUGAGAGGGAAGAAGACCUUCUGGGUUUGUUAAACUUCAAUAGUAAGAGAAAGAAGGAAAAGGACGGGUACCAUAAGGAAAAGCCCCCGGCUUAAUUUCGUGCCCCCACGCCCCGAUAAUAAGGGAGAGGACGAAGUGUGUCUCGAAUUACAGGGGAUGAGAGGACGUGGGCGGGUAUAUAAGUCUUAAAUGAAAAACCUUCGCUCAACCGAGGGUAUGUAUAUGAAAAUAAACAGCUUCAGUCAAGGAGAGGAGAGAGGAAUUCUUGGUGUAGCGAUGAAAUGCGUAGAGAUCAGGAAGAAUACCAGGGAGAAAGCGGCUCUCUGGACUUGAACUGACCGUGAGGUGAGGAAAGGUUGGGAGGCAAAAAGAAUUAAAUCCCUGGUACUUCCCCCCGUAAAAGGAUGAUACUUGGGGUUGGGGAAUAAUCAUUCGUGCCGGAGUUAACGCAAUAAGAAUUCCGCCUGGGGGGUAGGCCGCAAGGUUGAAAAUCAAAGGAAUUGACGGGGGCCCCCCCAAGCAGCGGAGCAUGUGUUUAUUUAAAGCAACGAGAAGAACCUUCCCAGGGCAGACCCCCACAGAAUCGGGUAAAAAUACCUGAGUCUCUCUAAAAAAAAGCGGGAGACAGGUGUGCAUGUUGUCGUCAGCUCUUUCCA
rnacentral:rRNA from 1 species